CUGUGCAAUGCGCGUAAGCGCGACACGGGGAGCCUGAGUGCCUUGACUAAGUCAAGGCUUUUCUUAAGCCUAAAAAGCUUGAGGAAUAAGAGCUGGGUAAGACGGGUGCCAGCCGCCGCGGUAACACCCGCAGCUCGAGUGGUAGUCACUUUUAUUGAGCCUAAAGCGUUCGUAGCCGGUUUUGUAAAUCCUCAGACAAAUUCUCCUGCUUAACGGGAGAUACUCUGGAGAGACUGCGAAACUAGGGACCGGGUGAGGUUGAAGGUACUUCUGGGGUAGGGGUAAAAUCCUGUAAUCCUGGAAGGACGACCAGUGGCGAAGGCGUUCAACUAGAACGGAUCCGACGGUGAGGAACGAGGGCUAGGGGAGCAAACCGGAUUAGAUACCCGGGUAGUCCUAGCUGUAAACACUGCCCACUUGGUGUUGCUUCUUCUAUAGGGGGGAGCAGUGCCGGAGCGAAGGUGUUAAGUGGGCCGCUUGGGGAGUAUGGUCGCAAGGCUGAAACUUAAAGGAAUUGGCGGGGGAGCACCGCAACGGGAGGAGCGUGCGGUUUAAUUGGAUUCAACGCCCGGAAAACUCACCGGGAGCGACCCUUUGGAUGAGAGUCAACUUGAUGAGCUUACUCCAUAGAAGGAGAGGUGGGUGCAUGGCCG
rnacentral:rRNA from 1 species